AUUGAACGCUGGCGGCAGGCUUAACACAUGCAAGUCGAGCGGAGAUGAGGUGCUUGCACCUUAUCUUAGCGGCGGACGGGUGAGUAACGCGUAGGAAUCUACCUCGUAGUGGGGGGUAACCCGGGGAAACUCGGGCUAAUACCGCAUAAUCUCUACGGAGCAAAGCAGGGGACCUUCGGGCCUUGUGCUAUGAGAUGAGCCUGCGUCGGAUUAGGUAGUUGGUAGGGUAAAGGCAUACCAAGGCAAUGAUCCGUAGCUGGUCUGAGAGGACGAUCAGCCACACUGGGACUGAGACACGGCCCAGACUCCUACGGGAGGCAGCAGUGGGGAAUAUUGGACAAUGGGCGCAAGCCUGAUCCAGCAAUGCCGCGUGUGUGAAGAAGGCCUUCGGGUUGUAAAGCACUUUUAGUGGGGAAGAAAGAAUUAAGGCUAAUAUCCUUAGUAGUUGACGUUACCCACAGAAAAAGCACUGGCUAACUCUGUGCCAGCCGCCGCCGUAACAC
rnacentral:rRNA from 1 species